GAUGAACGCUGGCGGCGUGCCUAAUACAUGCAAGUCGAGCGAACAGACGAGGAGCUUGCUCCUCUGACGUUAGCGGCGGACGGGUGAGUAACACGUGGAUAACCUACCUAUAAGACUGGGAUAACUUCGGGAAACCGGAGCUAAUACCGGAUAAUAUAUUGAACCGCAUGGUUCAAUAGUGAAAGACGGUUUUGCUGUCACUUAUAGAUGGAUCCGCGCCGCAUUAGCUAGUUGGUAAGGUAACGGCUUACCAAGGCAACGAUGCGUAGCCGACCUGAGAGGGUGAUCGGCCACACUGGAACUGAGACACGGUCCAGACUCCUACGGGAGGCAGCAGUAGGGAAUCUUCCGCAAUGGGCGAAAGCCUGACGGACCAACGCCGCGUGAGUGAUGAAGGUCUUCGGAUCGUAAAACUCUGUUAUUAGGGAAGAACAAAUGUGUAAGUAACUACGCACGUCUUGACGGUACCUAAUCAGAAAGCCACGGCUAACUACGUG
rnacentral:rRNA from 1 species